rnacentral:rRNA from 1 species
UACGAAGGGGGCUAGCGUUGCUCGGAAUCACUGGGCGUAAAGCGCACGUAGGCGGCUUUUUAAGUCAGGGGUGAAAUCCUGGAGCUCAACUCCAGAACUGCCUUUGAUACUGAGAGGCUCGAGUCCGGGAGAGGUGAGUGGAACUGCGAGUGUAGAGGUGAAAUUCGUAGAUAUUCGCAAGAACACCAGUGGCGAAAGCGGCUCACUGGCCCGGUACUGACGCUGAGGUGCGAAAGCGUGGGGAGCAAACAGG